AGAAGCUUAGGAUAAAACUCAAACCAGUGGCCUUCAACACCACAAAUAAGAAUAAAACUCUUAGCUUCUG
rnacentral:tRNA from 1 species